rnacentral:rRNA from 1 species
GUGGGGAAUCUUGCGCAAUGGGCGAAAGCCUGACGCAGCCAUGCCGCGUGAAUGAUGAAGGUCUUAGGAUUGUAAAAUUCUUUCACCGGGGACGAUAAUGACGGUACCCGGAGAAGAAGCUCCGGCUAACUUCGUGCCAGCAGCCGCGGUAAUACGAAGGGGGCUAGCGUUGCUCGGAAUUACUGGGCGUAAAGGGCGCGUAGGCGGACAGCUUAGUCAGAGGUGAAAGCCCAGGGCUCAACCUUGGAAUUGCCUUUGAUACUGGCUGUCUUGAGUUUGGGAGAGGUGAGUGGAACUCCGAGUGUAGAGGUGAAAUUCGUAGAUAUUCGGAAGAACACCAGUGGCGAAGGCGACUCACUGGCCCAAUACUGACGCUGCGGCGCGAAAGCGUGGGGAGCAAACAGGAUUAGAAACCCCUGUAGUCC